rnacentral:lncRNA from 1 species
GGGGAUAUCACUAGAUUAUACAUAUUUAACAUAUACAUAAAUUGUUAAAACAUAUCACAGACUAUUUAUAUGGACGGAUCAACAAUUCUUAGUACACUUCCACAGUAGAGUCAGGUGUGGGUCAAUACUUUAAUUUAUCCCAAAUUCUCUAUCUCCUUUCUCUCCAAUAAUAUAUUUAACAAGUGAAACUGCGAGCUACUGCUCACUGAUGAUACCCCCGCCGCAAGUGGAUAAUAUUAAUAGUGUAAAAAUAUGCAAGUGUUCGGUAAACAGGAAGUUGUCGAGUGAUGAAUCUGAAAACGCAUCACACGGUAUAGCUGACUUAUAUAAAUCCUGAAACCAAAUUUCAGAAAUCCUUGUAUUGUAGUUCCUAAGAAAAAUGUGACGAAAAUUUUCAACUUGGCUAUCAUGUGUAAAAUCAGACAAGUGUUCGGUAAACAGGAAGUUGUUAAGCAAUGAAUCUGAAAACGCAUCACACGGUGUGGCUGACAUAUAUAAAUGUUGAUACUAAAUUACAGAAAGGGUGGAUGUGUAGUUCCUGAGAAAAAUGUGACGAAAGUUUCAUGGGACGGACUGACUGACGGACUGAUGGACGGACGGACUGACAGACAGAGGUAAAACAGUAUACCCCCCCUUUUUUAAAGCGGGGGUAUAAAAAUGCAAAAAAUACUUUCUUCAAGGGGUGAUGCAGUUUAAAAAAAUAGACCAUGGCAAUAUUCAACAGUAUUUAAAUCAAUGAUUUACCCUGUUUAAUUAACAAUGAUUCAACAAAAUAUCAAUC